rnacentral:rRNA from 1 species
UGUAGUCAUAUGCUUGUCUCAAAGACUAAGCCAUGCAUGUCUAAGUAUAAACACCUUUAUACUGCGAAACUGCGAACGGCUCAUUAUAUCAGUUAUAAUCUACUUGAUCGUAUCCUCUUACUUGGAUAACCGUAGUAAUUCUAGAGCUAAUACAUGCAAAAGAUCCCGACUGGUGACGGAAGGGAUGUAUUUAUUAGGUCCAAAAUCAAUGCUGGCCAUUCGGUCAGGAAAGUUGAUGAUUCAUAAUAACUAAACGAAGCGCAGGCCUCGCGUCGGCGCUGAUACAAACGAGUUUCUGCCCUAUCAACUUUCGAUGGUAGUAUAGGGGGCUACCAUGGUCGUAACGGGUAACGGGGA